GUGUCAGCAGCCGCGGUAAUACGGAGGGUCCGAGCGUUAUCCGGAAUCAUUGGGUUUAAAGGGUCCGUAGGCGGGCCUGUAAGUCAGGGGUGAAAGUUUGUGGCUCAACCAUAAAAUUGCCUUUGAUACUGCAGGUCUUGAGUCAUGGUGGGGUCGCCGGAACAUGUGGUGUAGCGGUGAAAUGCAUAGAUAUCACAUAGAACACCGAUCGCGAAGGCAGGUGGCCAACCAUGUACUGACGCUGAUGGACGAAAGCGUGGGUAGCGUACGGGAUUAGAUACCCCGGUAGUCCACGCCGUAAACGAUGGAUACUAGCUGUGGGGACUUCGGUCUCCGUGGCCAAGCGAAAGUGAUAAGUAUCCCACCUGGGUAGUACGUUCGCAAGAAUGAA
rnacentral:rRNA from 1 species